GUCAAAUCUUUUGCUCCUUCCUCUAAAAAACUGAAAUGACGCUACUGAGUAUGUAAGAAGUGUUAUAAUAUGAAAUAAGCCAUUGCCUAACUCAAACUUAAAGAUGUAAAAAGGUUGGUGGAAGAAAUUACACCAUCUAUUUUAGGUAAGUAAAAAGGGACUAUGUUGCAGUUUACAUGAUGUUUUAAAUUGAGGUAAAAAGGUCAUUUUUGUAGGGGUGUACAUGUAGUGUUACAUGUGAACUUGUAUUUGUGUCUAUGUACCGUUGGAGAUGUCAACAAAUUCUAAGUAAAUUACCAAUAAUUGUUUGCAGCUGCAAGUAUAAUAUCACCUACUGAAUUGGCGUCUUGCGAUUAUUAUUACAAGUCGUUUUUGUGUUUCAAUAUCCAAUAUAAACUCGUAAGUGGUUGAUCACUCCGAAAUAAAAUAUGUCUGAUAAAAAAAAUUGUAUAAUUUUUUUUUCAGAUUGGUAUGUUGCCUGCAGUUUGACCGGUUGGAGCAGUAUCUAUUUAUAGAUAACGAAAUCGAAGAUCAUUGAUUUUAAAUACUCAAUUGCUAUCAAGUCUUAAUUACAU